GACGAACGCUGGCGGCGUGCUUAACACAUGCAAGUCGAACGGAAAGGCCCUGCUUUUGUGGGGUGCUCGAGUGGCGAACGGGUGAGUAACACGUGAGUAACCUGCCCUUGACUUUGGGAUAACUUCAGGAAACUGGGGCUAAUACCGGAUAGGAGCUCCUGCUGCAUGGUGGGGGUUGGAAAGUUUCGGCGGUUGGGGAUGGACUCGCGGCUUAUCAGCUUGUUGGUGGGGUAGUGGCUUACAAAGGCUUUGACGGGUAGCCGGCCUGAGAGGGUGACCGGCCACAAUGGGACUGAGAUACGGCCCAGACUCCUACGGGAGGCAGCAGUGGGGAAUAUUGCACAAUGGGCGGAAGCCUGAUGCAGCAACGCCGCGUGCGGGAUGACGGCCUUCGGGUUGUAAACCGCUUUCGCCUGUGACGAAGCGUGAGUGACGGUAAUGGGUAAAGAAGCACCGGCUAACUACGUG
rnacentral:rRNA from 1 species